AAAAUAUGUAAUUCCAGCAUGAAUCAAAGCAAGGCAAUACAACACUAAAGGAAAACCACAAGCUGCCAGAAUAAGCUAACAGGGAUGGAUUCCAAAUAUAACUGAAUUACCAUACCAAUGACGGUUCACCAUGAUGGUUAGAUGACAUCCCACCUCAGCUAGCAUUAAACUGUCUAAUCAUUAGCCUAAUUGGGUUGUUAUACAUGAAUACCAA
rnacentral:misc_RNA from 1 species